AUGAGUGUUGUGGUGAUCAGCAAGUCCCCACCCGUGCUCGUCGAGCCAUGGGAGGCGACAGUCACGGGAGGGGACAUCAAUCUGUCGUCUUAUGACAAGAUGUUUGGCGGCAGAUCAGUUACAGUGCUCUUCAUCUUUGCGUGUUCAAUUCCAGAUCCCGUGGAGACCAUUAAAAGGGGAUUGUCACAAGCACUUGUCCAUUACUACCUUAUCGCCGGCCGCCUUGCCGCUGGCGACGCAGCCGGCGAAUUCGUCAUCAAAUGCACCGGCGAGGGGGUCUCCUUUGUUGCCGCCUCUGCCAACUGCGCCAUCAAUGACGUCCCAGAGUUCUGUGACUCUUCGCUGCAAGAAGAGCUCGCCAUCUUCCAUGCGGCCGAGGGUUUCAGCAACACUGAACCACUAGUGUUGAUGCAGGUGACCGUGUUCACUUGUGGCGGGUUCGUCAUGGGGGUGACGUGGAACCAUGCCGUCGGCGAUGGUACCGGGAUGGCGCAGUUUAUGCAGGCCAUCGGAGAGUUGGCCCGCGGGCUGCCGUCGCCGUCCGUCAUCCCGGUGAGGUCCAAGAAUUCGCUCGUUUUGGACUUGCCUCCAUUUUCCACAAACUUUGUUCAAUUUUUGGGCAUGCUCCAGCCGUCCCCAAUGGUGUUCCUCGACAUUACUGUCCCAUCAAGCUUGGUCAACCGCAUCAAAAGCACGUACACCAUGAAUUACCACCGGCCAUGCACUGUGUUUGAGGCAGUUGCCGCGGUCCUGUGGCAGUGCCGAACCCGUGCAAUCAUGUCCGACCCGUCGGCCCUCGCCGUGCUUACCUUCCCAGCAAAUGCGCGAAAGCACGCGGUUGCCAGGGAGGGCUUCUACGGCAACUGCGUCACCGCGCAGCUGGUGACGGCGACCAGUGGCGCCGUGGCGAACGGCGACCUCAUGGAGCUAGUGAAGAUGAUCCAGCAUGCCAAGGAUCGGGUGCCCGGCCAGUCGAAGAUCGACGAGCUGCGGCAGUUGGAUGGGUACAAUCUUUUCUUCAUGUCGUGCUGGCGAAACCUUGGCAUGGAGGCGAUUGACUUUGGUUUUGGGCCGCCGGCGAGAUUGAUGGAGUACACCAAGGAAAGGACGACGCUGCCAAGCUGCGCAACGUGCGUCCCUUGCAAUGACGAGUACAACGUGCAGUCCAUCUGUGUCAUACAGGAGCACGCCGACGCUUUCAUCCGUGAAUUAGCAAAAUCCCACCUCACUUAUAAUCCGCUUUCAGCUUCAUCCAAGCUUUGA
rnacentral:rRNA from 1 species